GUGCCAGCAGCCGCGGUAAUACGUAGGUGGCAAGCCGUUAUCCGGAAUUAUUGGGCGUAAAGCGCGCGUAGGCGGUUUUUUAAGUCUGAUGUGGAAGCCCACGGCUCAACCGUGGAGGGUCAUUGGAAACUGGAAAACUUGAGUGCAGAAGAGGAAAGUGGAGUUCCAUGUGUAGCGGUGAAAUGCGCAGAGAUAUGGAGGAACACCAGUGGCGAAGGCGACUUUCUGGUCUGUAACUGACGCUGAUGUGCGAAAGCGUGGGGAUCAAA
rnacentral:rRNA from 1 species